CGGCUGAAAAAGAAGUGGGAGAAUGAUACGAAUUUGAAUAACUUCUUCCUAAAAACACUAAAGGGAGACUGCAAGGGAUUGUAUCAAUGCGCGCUGCACUGGAAGAAAGAGCUGGAGAGAACAGCUGCAUCAACCACUGCCACAGCCGCUGUCCCAUCCAAGGCCACAACCAACACGCCCAUCACCUGGUGGAUCUACCCUGUGAUCCUCAUCUGCGCAACCAUAGUUGGCAUCCUAGGCUGCUGAUGCGACCAAGGAGGCCCUGGUGGUGUGGACUAGCUUAGCGCCUCUGCCCUUCGCUUGGCUUCCUCUAGAUGACCUGCUGUACUUUUUUUUUUUUAAUCAUUUAUCUU